CCUACGGGAGGCAGCAGUGAGGAAUAUUGGUCAAUGGACGCGAGUCUGAACCAGCCAAGUAGCGUGAAGGAUGACUGCCCUACGGGUUGUAAACUUCUUUUAUAAGGGAAUAAAGUGAGGCACGUGUGCCUUUUUGUAUGUACUUUAUGAAUAAGGAUCGGCUAACUCCGUGCCAGCAGCCGCGGUAAUACGGAGGAUGCGAGCGUUAUCCGGAUGUAUUGGGUUUAAAGGGAGCGUAGAUGGGUUGUUAAGUCAGUUGUGAAAGGUUGCGGCUCAACCGUAAAAUUGCAGUUGAUACUGGCAGCCUUGAGUACAGAUGAGGUAGGCGGAAUUCGUGGUGUAGCGGUGAAAUGCUUAGAUAUCACGAAGAACUCCGAUUGCGAAGGCAGCCUACUAGACUGCCACUGACACUGAGGCUCGAAAGUGUGGGUAUCAAACAGGAUUAGAUACCCCAGUAGUC
rnacentral:rRNA from 1 species